rnacentral:rRNA from 1 species
GACGAACGCUGGCGGCGUGCUUAACACAUGCAAGUCGAGCGAGAAAGCUCCUUCGGGAGUGAGUACAGCGGCGAACGGGUGAGUAACACGUGGGCAACCUGCCCUAGGGAGCGGGACAACCCGAGGAAACUCGGGCUAAUACCGCAUGAUUCGGCCUUGCAUAAGUAAGGUCGGGAAAUGGUAGCUUAGGCCUCCGCCCUAGGAUGGGCCCGCGGCCGAUUAGCUAGUUGGUGUCGGUAACGGCGCACCAAGGCGACGAUCGGUAGCUGGUCUGAGAGGACGAUCAGCCACACUGGGACUGAGACACGGCCCAGACUCCUACGGGAGGCAGCAGUGGGGAAUCUUGCGCAAUGGGCGAAAGCCUGACGCAGCAACGCCGCGUGGG